rnacentral:misc_RNA from 1 species
UUGAUCACUUCUGUCACCCUCCUCAUCUGAUUCGAAACCCUUUGCGUUCGAUUCUGAUUCCUCGCAGAGAGAUGGCAGUGAUGUGGGAGAGAAAGGCUUGCUGUGCUUUUGAACGUUCACUGUUCUGUUUCUAUGUUCCUCCACUAUCCUCUCUAGGAAUCUCCGUUGGGCUUCAAUUUUCAUCUUCAAGCUCUUUUGAACCUCAAGUUGAUCACUCAGUCGUCUUUGCACUUCCAUCUGCAUUUUUAAUGCUUCAUUAAGUUGAGCACCUGAUGUUGCACUGAAAUUUGGCAGCAAUUCUG